AGAGAAACCAGGAAUCAUAGAAAUGGAUCUUUGAAUAGUUGAUGGUUUAUCAGGCAAUGCAACUUUAAUUGGGGACUUCAAGGGGAGCUCUGGCAGGGAAGCACCUUCAUCAGCAAGAAAAGAUGUCUCCAGAGCCAGGUGAUAAGCAGCAAAAAAGACUUCAAGGGGAGCUCUGGCAAGGAAGCACCUUCAUCAGCAAGAAAAGAUGUCUCCAGAGCCAGGUGAUAAGCAGCAAAAACUCCAUACUGGAUAACACGUUUUAUCCUCUUCAAAUCAUCCCCGU
rnacentral:lncRNA from 1 species